GGCUGGCCGCUGUAGCUUCUAUUCAACCCCUAUCCUGGGAAGCUUCAUAUGCCGUGGGUGCGGCCCUUAAAAAAGCAAAAAAAAAAGAAAGAGAGAGAGAGAAAGAAAGAAACUAACUAUCUCUGACUCAUCCCAGAGGUGAGGAUAGUCCACAAACCUCACAUCCUUACGAAUCCCAUUCCCGUUUAUCAUAUUGUAACUACUUGUUCAGGGCUGUCAUCCCCACAUUGCUGAGACCAGCAAUGGUAACUUCUUUAUCCCUGUCUCCAUAGGGUGAAGCCCAAUGCCAGAAACAUAGUGGCUGGUGGAUAAAUGGUGUGUACAGUGGAGUGAUAUCCCCACGCUGACAGCCAAUGGAAUAUGUGCUGGCAUGGUUUUGUGUUUUAACAUUUUCUCAGUUCUAAUGUCUCCUAUAGUAAUUAUUGAUAGAUAUAGCCCAAAUAAGCAAAAGCUCUUUGGGACUCUUCAAUAAAUGUUCAUUUGAAUUUUGCCAUGGGACAGUCCACAAGAAAUGCUGAAAUAGAUGGAUUGCUUUCUGUAUCAACUGCUGCAAAGACCCCCUCAAAUUAGAAUUAAUUCAGUCCUUCAUUUAAUCCUCAGAAUCACCCCACUAUGGGGGUAAUUUUAGGAUUCUUGCUUCAUGUAUGAGGAAAUAGGGGCUGCAAAAGUAAGUAAUAGGGCCUGUGUACACAUUAGUGUACAGACCCAGGACCAGUUACAUAAUGUGUGGGGCCCAGUGAAAAAUGAAAAUGCAGGAAUCCGUGCUCCAAAAUUAUUAAAAAUUCAGGAUUUCUAGAUGGCAACAUCAGAGCAUUAAAUUAAGUGCAGGAACUUCCUGAGUAGGGGCCCCAUCAAAGAACAAGGCCCUGGGCAACAGCCGGGUAGGGGUCAAGCCAGAAAGUUUGUACCUGCCUUGGUCAAAUCCAGAUCCAUCUAAUCUCAUUGGUUAACACUGCCUUCCAAUAGUUUUCACAGCAAGUAAUCCUGCACUUACCUCUCUUGUGUCUUUAGACUAUGUUUUUUUUUCUGUGCUUUAUUUUCUCAUCCACGUUCAAAGUCUAACUUCUUCAAGUUCUGUGAUUUUACGUUGCCAUUAUUCCCCAGGAUUGAUGCAUAUUCAAGCUUUCUACUGAUUUCAUAGGGAAGCUUCACUUCCUUCAUAGUGACAGGGUUAAAUUCUGCAUUGUAUUCUUGGUUACGCUUUUUAAAGCAACAUCAUAGAAGCAAAACAACAAUAAUUGUAAUUAUAUGAAAUAGUAAAAGUAUAAUUAAAUGUCUGUAGGUUUUAUAC